rnacentral:rRNA from 1 species
GACGAACGCUGGCGGCGUGCUUAACACAUGCAAGUCGAACGGAAAGGCCCUGCUUGCAGGGUACCCGAGUGGCGAACGGGUGAGUAACACGUGGGUGAUCUGCCCUGCACUUCGGGAUAAGCUUGGGAAACUGGGUCUAAUACCGGAUAGGAGCCAUCUUUAGUGUGGUGGUUGGAAAGUUUUUUCGGUGUAGGAUGAGCUCGCGGCCUAUCAGCUUGUUGGUGGGGUAAUGGCCUACCAAGGCGGCGACGGGUAGCCGGCCUGAGAGGGUGUACGGCCACAUUGGGACUGAGAUACGGCCCAGACUCCUACGGGAGGCAGCAAUGGGGAAUAUUGCACAAUGGGCGCAAGCCUGAUGCAGCGACGCCGCGUGGGGGAUGAAGGCCUUCGGGUUGUAAACUCCUUUCGCUAGGGACGAAGCUUUUUUGUGACGGUACCUAGAUAAGAAGCACCGGCUAACUACGUG